UACGAAGGGAGCGAGCGUUGUUCGGAAUCACUGGGCUUAAAGCGUGCGUAGGCGGGCAGGAAAGUCAGAAGUGAAAGCCCCGGGCUUAACCCGGGAACUGCUUUUGAAACUUCCUGUCUAGAAACCGGAAGAGGUUAGCGGAAUAUCCAGUGUAGAGGUGAAAUUCGCAGAUAUUGGAUGGAACACCAGUGGCGAAGGCGGCUAACUGGUCCGGUAUUGACGCUGAGGCACGAAAGCGUGGGUAGCAAACAGG
rnacentral:rRNA from 1 species